GACGAACGCUGGCGGCGUGCUUAACACAUGCAAGUCGAGCGGUAAGGCCCUUUCGGGGGUACACGAGCGGCGAACGGGUGAGUAACACGUGGGUGACCUGCCCUCAGCUCUGGGAUAAGCCCGGGAAACUGGGUCUAAUACCGGAUAUGACUCCAUGACGCAUGUUGUGGGGUGGAAAGCCUUGUGCGGCUGAGGAUGGGCCCGCGGCCUAUCAGCUUGUUGGUGGGGUGAUGGCCUACCAAGGCGACGACGGGUAGCCGGCCUGAGAGGGCGACCGGCCACACUGGGACUGAGACACGGCCCAGACUCCUACGGGAGGCAGCAGUGGGGAAUCUUGCGCAAUGGGCGAAAGCCUGACGCAGCGACGCCGCGU
rnacentral:rRNA from 1 species